rnacentral:misc_RNA from 1 species
GUUCAGUUGAAUGCAGGAAUGGUACUUGUACAGUUCUUUUAUUCUUGCAACUUCCUAUUGUUGCCAAUCUCGGAGUUAAAAGAGCUGCAUGUUCACUUCACUGCAAGAGUCUGUCGAAGCUCUGGAUUUGAUGCAAUAUCACAAGUAUUAAACCUACCUGCCAUGCAGACAGACUGAUUCAUUUUGGCAUGCGGUGCACCCUAAUUGGCCAGGCUAUCUCUAGGUGCAACUGGUAAUGACAUUCUUGUUUGGAAGAG